AGCUCCAAUAGCGUAUAUUAAAGUUGCUGCAGUUAAAAAGCUCGUAGUUGCAUUUCCGAGGCAAGGGAUUAGUCCGACCUUUGGUGGGUAUUUAAUCCUCUUGCCUCGUCCUUGAGUGGUGCUUCUUGGUAUUAAGUUAUCGAGGAGAUAGCCGCUCAUCGUUUACUGUGAGAAAAUUAGAGUGUUCAAAGCAGGCUUAUGCCGUUGAAUAUAUUAGCAUGGAAUAAUAAGAUAGGACCUCGGUACUAUUUUGUUGGUUUGAGAACCAAGGUAAUGAUGAAUAGGGACAGUUGGGGGUAUUCGUAUUCAGUUGUCAGAGGUGAAAUUCUUGGAUUUGUUAAAGACGAACUACUGCGAAAGCAUUUGCCAAGGAUGUUUUCA
rnacentral:rRNA from 1 species